GGACCUACGGGGCGCAGCAGUGGGGAAUAUUGCACAAUGGGGGAAACCCUGAUGCAGCGACGCCGCGUGAGUGACGAAGUAUUUCGGUAUGUAAAGCUCUAUCAGCAGGGAAGAAGAUGACGGUACCUGACUAAGAAGCCCCGGCUAACUACGUGCCAGCAGCCGCGGUAAUACGUAGGGGGCAAGCGUUAUCCGGAUUUACUGGGUGUAAAGGGAGCGUAGGUGGCAUGGUAAGCCAGAAGUGAAAACCCAGGGCUCAACUCUGUGGAUUGCUUUUGGAACUAUCAGGCUGGAGUGCUGGAGGG
rnacentral:rRNA from 1 species